rnacentral:rRNA from 1 species
GGGACACGUGGUAUCCUGUCUGAAUAUGGGGGGACCAUCCUCCAAGGCUAAAUACUCCUGACUGACCGAUAGUGAACCAGUACCGUGAGGGAAAGGCGAAAAGAACCCCGGCGAGGGGAGUGAAAAAGAACCUGAAACCGUGUACGUACAAGCAGUGGGAGCACAGGUUUACCUGUGUGACUGCGUACCUUUUGUAUAAUGGGUCAGCGACUUAUAUUCUGUAGCAAGGUUAACCGUAUAGGGGAGCCGUAGGGAAACCGAGUCUUAACCGGGCGUUAAGUUGCAGGGUAUAGACCCGAAACCCGGUGAUCUAGCCAUGGGCAGGUUGAAGGUUGGGUAACACUAACUGGAGGACCGAACCGACUAAUGUUGAAAAAUUAGCGGAUGACCUGUGGCUGGGGGUGAAAGGCCAAUCAAACCGGGAGAUAGCUGGUUCUCCCCGAAAGCUAUUUAGGUAGCGCCUCGUGAAUUCAUCUCCGGGGGUAGAGCACUGUUUCGGCUAGGGGGCCAUCCCGGCUUACCAACCCGAUGCAAACUGCGAAUACCGGAGAAUGUUAUCACGGGAGACACACGGCGGGUGCUAACGUCCGUCGUGAAGAGGGAAACAACCCAGACCGCCAGCUAAGGUCCCAAAGUCAUGGUUAAGUGGGAAACGAUGUGGGAAGGCCCAGACAGCCAGGAUGUUGGCUUAGAAGCAGCCAUCAUUUAAAGAAAGCGUAAUAGCUCACUGGUCGAGUCGGCCUGCGCG